AGAAGGUUGGGCAGUCGCGGGCAGAUUAUUCUGAACGAGGAAAGUCCGGGCUUCACAGAGCGGGAUAACGGCUAACGGCCGCCGAGGGUGACCUUAGGGAAAGUGCAACAGAGAUAUACCGCCUGCUUGCAGGUAAGGGUGGAAAGGCGAGGUAAGAGCUCACCGGCAUAUGGGAGACCAUAUGGCCCUGCAAACCCUAUCCGAAGCAACACCGACCGGAGGAGGGGAAUACCCCGUCGCUUGCUCGGCGAUACUCCGACGGGUGGCUUGAAGCAUACAGCAAUGUAUGAAUUAGACAGAUGAUUGCCUUAAAUGACAGAACCCGGCUUACAGAUCUUCUC
rnacentral:RNase_P_RNA from 1 species